AUACAACUACUUUGGUGAUUUCGUUCUUUCUUAAAUCGUGUGAUGCUGCCGGCUUCGUACAAGAAAACUUGAAACGUGAAUCAGUAUUCGCGAAAGAUGUUUCGCUACAACGAGUUACAAAAAUUCGUCAGGUCUUCGAAUUAGCAAAUUUUCGUUCGUGUUAUUUUUUUUCAGCUAGAUUUAUUUUAAAUUCGAUUUUUACCAUUUUUAAAAAUUGUUUUCGAUGUGAAUUUUCCUUGUGUAUGUGCGCGUUGUUUUUCGUAUAGCGAAAAAUUGACGAUGAAUUAAUCAAUAAUCAUACGUGGUGAUAAAUUUUUGUGUAUAGUCAACAAUAUUUAUUUAUUCGUGUUUAUAUUCUGUGAUAAGUGAGAGUUGAAAGUGGAAUAAAAUUUGUACUCGGUAAAUUAGUGAAUAAUUUUUCGAUAUUUUAAAUAAAUUUUGUGGAGAAGUGGAUGCACAUACAAUCCAUUGGAACAAUCUUAAAAUUUUGGAAAACGCGGCUUAUGCUGGCUUAAAACUCAAAACAAAUCAAAAGCGUUUUUGUGAAACCGUAAUCCUAAGGAAGGUGAAUGUCCGAGACACGAUAACUCACGUUAGAAUUGAGCAGUUGAACUGAAAAUUUUGACCAUUGAUUCUGAACGUCGAUCUUCAGAGCUGUAUAUUUUUUGGGAAUAAUUGGUCCGUAGAGACCGAGCUAUUGGAGUCCAAAAUGUCCAAAAAUGGAUUUUCUUCCUUUGCACCAAUUCUUGGAAAUUGUAUACCUAAUUAUAAUAUUCAAUCGUUCAAUAUUUUGAAUGUACCUAUUAUAACGAUAAAAUUUAUGACUUUAUAACAUUUUCUUCAAAUGUCAAAGAAUCAGUUAUGGGGCUUCAAACUGUUCAAAAAUAAAUAUCUUCUUUCGCCCCAAUCCCUUACUUAAGUAAAUCAAAUUUUUCAUAUAAAAGUUUUUGCUUGAUAAAUUCAUAAUAUUUUAGUUAGGCGUUCAACUUUUGGAUUCUUUAUGCACAUUUUGUUGAAAUGCCAGAAGCAAAAAGGAAUUUUCAAAAUUCCACAUUUUGUUAUAGUAUGAAAAUUGAAAAAUUUACCUGUUACUUAAGCAGUGUUAUUUGAUUGUAAUUUUUUUUUCAAUUUGUUUUAGCAAAAUUUUAUGAUUUUUUUUUGAAAUGUCUGCUGCUUUUUGUCCGUUUGUCAACUGUAAAUAAAAGCUAUGAUGCUGCAACUUUUUUUUCAAUUCUGAUUUUAAUUUUUGAUUUACGUAACUGUUUCUUCAAUUUUUAUUUUAUUCUUGAUUUUUCAAAUAUCUCUUUGACAUUUCAACAAAAAGUCAUAUUUUUUAUUUUAUCGUUAAUUAAGGUUUUGAUUGUUAUUUUGUACUCAUGUUACCUAUUUUUAAGUGUUUGUGAUAAAAGUUACCAAAGAUGUUUGUAAAUUAAAAUUUAAUUUAAAAAAUAGGUAGAUAUGUACCUACAUAUGUUACUUUUUCAAUAAGGCAUUUGUUGAAAUAUUGAAUAAACUAUAAAAAAUAGUCAUGAUUUGUGAUUUUAGUACUUAAUUUAUGAAUUCGUAGAAAAAAAGAAGAAAAUGGAGUAAUAAAAAUCAGUAUAUUGUAAACCGAGGCAAUAAAGGUGUCCAGGGGGCAAAUUUUUUUACCUACGAAAAACAGGCAGGAGUCAAGCGGUUGAAUAACAGCAAGAUGCUUAGAUUUCUGUACAAUCAUUUAUGAAUAGGUAUACUUCUAUUGGAAAAAGCUGUUUGAAAUUAGAAAAACUUUGGGCCAAAAAUUGGAUUUUUUGAAACUACAAGUAGGUAUGCAUGAAAUUGAACACAAUAUGGUGGAAGUUUUGAUUUUAUAAUAGCCUGAAGUAAUUCCAAAAAAUUUGUACUUUUCUCGAUGGAGCGACUUGAAAAAGAAAUGUUUGCCUUCCGACCUUACUCAUUUUUUUCUCAUUGUUUUCAAAUUCUCUCCGAACAAAACCGAUAGGUAAUUGAAUAAAUUAAAUCAUGCUCAUACAUAAUAUAAAAAUUUUCGCUGUGGUUUUUGCCAUUAAAAUUGCAUUUUUACUUGAAUUUUCGUAACAAACGUAAUAAAAUAGUUCAAUUUUGAUCUUUUUUUUUUAAAUUCAGUAGGUAUCUGCUAAAGCCUCAGACACGACACGACACGACACGAAAAAAAGAACAUGGUAUCAAGAAUUAUAAUAAAGUUUUCCCUUGAAUUUAAAAAAAAAAAAUGUUACCUUGUUACUAAGUGACAUCAAUUUUUGUAGUACACGUACUAAGCAUAAGUUACACAUAGAUUUUUUGUUAAUGUGUUUUCGCUGGAAUUGAAAAAUUAUAUAUAAUUCCUAUGAUGAACAUAGGUAAUUGCUUGUUCUUGAAUCAUUUUUCCAUUUUCUUUUUUAAUUCUAUGAUUUGUGUAACCUUAUGCAAGUAGGUAGUAGGUAAUAUACUUAUUUUUCAGGAUAAGAGCUCCAGCCUGCAUUGAAUUUUUUUUCACUAAUGGUCUCUCUUCUGAAUAAUCUCACAAUUUUUUUUAUGGAUGUAAAUUAUAAUGUAUAC